GAUGAACGCUGGCGGCGUGCCUAAUACAUGCAAGUAGAACGCUGAAGGAAGGAGCUUGCUCUUUCCGGAUGAGUUGCGAACGGGUGAGUAACGCGUAGGUAACCUGCCUGGUAGCGGGGGAUAACUAUUGGAAACGAUAGCUAAUACCGCAUAACAGUAGAUGUUGCAUGAUAUCUACUUAAAAGGUGCAAUUGCACCACUACCAGAUGGACCUGCGUUGUAUUAGCUAGUUGGUGAGGUAACGGCUCACCAAGGCGACGAUACAUAGCCGGCCUGAGAGGGUGAUCGGCCACACUGGGACUGAGACACGGCCCAGACUCCUACGGGGGGCAGCAGUAGGGAAUCUUCGGCAAUGGACGGAAGUCUGACCGAGCAACGCCGCGUGAGUGAAGAAGGUUUUCGGAUCGUAAAGCUCUGUUGUAAGAGAAGAACGAGUGUGAGAGUGGAAAGUUCACACUGUGACGGUAUCUUACCAGAAAGGGACGGCUAACUACGUG
rnacentral:rRNA from 1 species